GCCGCUUUAGCUCAGUUGGUAGAGCGACGCAUUCGUAAUGCGUAGGUCGGGUGUUCAAAUCACCCAAGCGGCACCA
rnacentral:tRNA from 2 species